rnacentral:rRNA from 1 species
UACGUAGGGUGCAAGCGUUGUCCGGAAUUCUUGGGCGUAAAGAGCUCGUAGGCGGUCUGUCGCGUCUGCUGUGAAAACUCGGGGCUUAACCCCGGGCCUGCAGUGGGUACGGGCAGACUAGAGUGCGGUAGGGGAGACUGGAAUUCCUGGUGUAGCGGUGAAAUGCGCAGAUAUCAGGAGGAACACCGGUGGCGAAGGCGGGUCUCUGGGCCGUAACUGACGCUGAGGAGCGAAAGCAUGGGGAGCGAACAGG